rnacentral:lncRNA from 1 species
UUUUUAUCACAAUUGCUCUGUAGUAAAGCUUUAGGUCAGGCAUGGUGAUUCCACCAGAGGUUCUUUUAUCCUUGAGAAGAGUUUUUGCUAUCCUCGGUUUUUUGUUAUUCCAGAUGAAUUUGCAAAUUGUUCCUUCUAAUUCGUUGAAGAAUUGAGUUGGAAUUUUAAUGGGGAUUGCAUUGAAUCUGUAGAUUGCUUUUGGCAAGAUAGCCAUUUUUACAAUGUUGGUCCUGCCAAUCCAUGAGCAUGGGAGAUCUUUCCAUCUUCUGAGAUCUUCUUUAAUUUCUUUCUUCAGGGACUUGAAGUUUUUAUCAUACAGAUCUUUCACUUCCUUCGUUAGAGUCACGCCGAGAUAUUUUAUAUUAUUUGUGGCUAUUGAGAAGGGUGUUGUUUCCCUAAUUUCUUUCUCAGCCUGUUUAUUCUUUGUGUAGAGAAAGGCCAUUGACUUGUUUGAGUUAAUUUUAUAUCCAGCUACUUCACCGAAGCUGUUUAUCAGGUUUAGGAGUUCUCUGUUGGAAUUUUUAGGGUCACUUAUAUAUACUAUCAUAUCAUCUGCAAAAAGUGAUAUUUUGACUUCCUCUUUUCCAAUUUGUAUCCCCUUGAUCUCCUUUUGUUGUCGAAUUGCUCUGGCUAAUACUUCAAGUACUAUGUUGAAAAGGUAGGGAGAAAGUGGGCAGCCUUGUCUAGUCCCUGAUUUUAGUGGGAUUGCUUCCAGCUUCUCUCCAUUUACUUUGAUGUUGGCUACUGGUUUGCUGUAGAUUGCUUUUAUCAUGUUUAGGUAUUGGCCUUGAAUUCCUGAUCUUUCCAGAACUUUUAUCAUGAAUGGGUGUUGGAUCUUGUCAAAUGCUUUUUCUGCAUCUAACGAGAUGAUCAUGUGGUUUUUGUCUUUGAGUUUGUUUAUAUAAUGGAUUACAUUGAUGGAUUUUCGUAUAUUAAACCAUCCCUGCAUCCCUGGAAUAAAACCUACUUGGUCAGGAUGGAUGAUUGCUUUAAUGUGUUCUUGGAUUCGGUUAGCGAGAAUUUUAUUAAGGAUUUUUGCAUCGAUGUUCAUAAGAGAAAUUGGUCUGAAGUUCUCUAUCUUUGUUGGAUCUUUCUGUGGUUUAGGUAUCAGAGUAAUAGUGGCUUCAUAAAAUGAGUUGGGUAGAAUACCUUCUACUUCUAUCUUGUGAAAAAGUUUGUGCAGAACUGGAGUUAGAUCUUCUUUGAAGGUCUGAUAGAACUCUGCACUAAACCCGUCUGGUCCUGGGCUUUUUUUGGCUGGGAGACUAUUAAUAACUGCUUCUAUUUCUUUAGGGGAUAUGGGACUGUUUAGAAGGUCAACUUGAUCCUGAUUCAACUUUGGUACCUGGUAUCUGUCCAGAAAUUUGUCCAUUUCGUCCAGGUUUUCCAGUUUUGUUGAGUAUAGCCUUUUGUAGAAGGAUCUGAUGGUGUUUUGGAUUUCUUCAGGAUCUGUUGUUAUGUCUCCCUUUUCAUUUCUGAUUUUGUUAAUUAGGAUUUUGUCCCUGUGCCCUUUAGUGAGUCUAGCUAAGGGUUUAUCUAUCUUGUUGAUUUUCUCAAAGAACCAACUCCUCGUUUGGUUAAUUCUUUGAAUAGUUCUUCUUGUUUCCACUUGGUUGAUUUCACCCCUGAGUUUGAUUAUUUCCUGCCGUCUACUCCUCUUGGGUGAAUUUGCUUCCUUUUUUUCUAGAGCUUUUAGAUGUGUUGUCAAGCUGCUAGUAUGUGCUCUCUCCCGUUUUUUCUUGAAGGCACUCAUAGCUAUGAGUUUCCCUCUUAGAAAUGCUUUCAUUGUGUCCCAAAGGUUUGGGUACGUUGUGGCUUCAUUUUCAUUAAACUCUAAAAAGUCUUUAAUUUCU